rnacentral:rRNA from 1 species
UGGCGGACGGGUGAGUAACACGUAGAGAACCUGCCUUACACAGGGGGAUAACACCUGGAAACAGGUGCUAAUACCGCAUAAGCGCACAGGGCCGCAUGGCCCGGUGUGAAAAACUCCGGUGGUGUAAGAUGGACCCGCGUCUGAUUAGCUUGUUGGCGGGGUAGGGGCCCACCAAGGCGACGAUCAGUAGCCGGCCUGAGAGGGUGGACGGCCACAUUGGGACUGAGACACGGCCCAAACUCCUACGGAAGGCAGCAG